GACGUAGGAGGCGAGCGUUGUCCGGAUUCAUUGGGCGUAAAGAGCACGCAGGCGGUUUGGCAAGUCGGAUGUGAAAACCCGAAGCUCAACUUCGGGCCUGCAUCCGAAACUGCCCGACUAGAGGUAGGUAGGGGAGAUCGGAAUUCCUGGUGUAGCGGUGAAAUGCGGCAGGAAUAUCAGGAGGAACCACCGGGUGGCGA
rnacentral:rRNA from 1 species